AUCUAGUCAUGUAGGUCAAAUGACCAAACCGUCAUGAGAAGUAUCUGAUAUAAUUGCGAUUCUUCUCAAAUUGAAUUUGGUUUUAGCAACCAUUGGGAUAUUUGAGGGAGAAAAAUAUACUACUCAAUUCGGAAGCAGGACGUAUUUAGUGUUCCAAUGAACAUCAAAGGUCAGUAUUUCCACAAUCUAGUGGAAGGGAAAAGGAAAAUAGUAGCAAAUAGUUGAAGAUGCAUACAAUCAUUACAUCUUUUGUACAGGCAAUGAUCUUAUAUUGAUCAUAAGAUAUGAUAUUUAUAAAACACAUAUUUUUAUCCUUUGAAUGUAGCUCAAUAAAGCUCAAUGAAAAAUAAUCAACAAGAAGAAGAAGUUAAGUCAGUGAACAAUGUAGCUUGUAAUCAAUAUUUUCGAAUAUUGUUCUUCCGUCAAUUUUAGCUACAAUGAUGAAUAGAAGACUUGAGUGGAUUAUAAAUGAACCAAGUUAGAGGAGAAAUAUAUCUAUACUGAAAUUUGUUACCCAAAAUCACGGUUAACUUCCACUAAAAAUGAGAAAUUCUAUUUUGAAAUCACACAUCUUGUUAUCGUGUUUUUUUAAUGAAUAACAUUAAGAUGGGUAGCCACGUAGCAUGUCAUCCACUAACUGAAAGCCUCAUUAAUGAAUCGAUCAAUGAAUAUAAAAAGGAAAAUUUCAAACUUUCAAACUAAGGAUUGGUGUUGUUGACAUAUAAAAAAAAAAAAAGUAGUGUGGACUAAAAGUUGCCCUUACAUUUUUCUUUUCAUUCAAAAUGAUCACAAUAUCAAAUAAAAAUUAUAUAUUCAUACC